UACGGGGGGGGCAAGCGUUGUUCGGAAUUACUGGGCGUAAAGGGCUUGUAGGUGGCCAACUAAGUCAGACGUGAAAUCCCUCGGCUUAACCGGGGAACUGCGUCUGAUACUGGAUGGCUGGAGUGUGGGAGAGGGAUGCGGAAUUCCAGGUGUAGCGGUGAAAUGCGCAGAUAUCAGGAGGAACACCGGUGGCGAAGGCGGUUCUCUGGGCAUUACCUGACGCUGAGGAGCGAAAGUGUGGGGAGCGAACAGG
rnacentral:rRNA from 1 species